AUUGAACGCUGGCGGCGUGCUUAACACAUGCAAGUCGAUCGGUAACAGGUGUAGCAAUACAUGCUGACGAGAGGCGGACGGGUGAGUAAUGCUUGGGAAUCUGCCUAUUAGUGGGGGACAACCCGGGGAAACUCGGGCUAAUACCGCAUACGCUCUACGGAGGAAAGCCGGGGACCGCAAGGCCUGGCGCUAAUAGAUGAGCCCAAGUCGGAUUAGCUAGUUGGUAGGGUAACGGCCUACCAAGGCGACAAUCCGUAGCUGGUCUGAGAGGACGACCAGCCACACCGGAACUGAGACACGGCCCAGACUCCUACGGGAGGCAGCAGUGGGGAAUCUUGGACAAUGGGCGCAAGCCUGAUCCAGCCAUGCCGCGUGAGU
rnacentral:rRNA from 1 species